UCUAAUUUGAUCGCCUGGAGUGCUCGGAAACAGGCUACUGUGUCACGUAGUAGUACUGAAGCUGAGUACAAGGCUGUGGCUAAUGCUACUGCAGAGAUUAUUUGGGUGCAGUCUUUGCUUCAGGAGUUGGGUUUGUCUCAACCACAGCCUCCUAUUCUUUGGUGUGAUAACAUCGGUGCUACAUACCUUUCUGCAAAUCCAGUAUUUCAUGCCCGAAUGAAACACAUUGAAGUUGACUAUCACUUUGUACGGGAACGUGUAUCACAGAAGCAACUCCAGAUCAAGUUUAUCUCAUCUAAGGAUCAACUUGCAGACAUCUUCACUAAGCCUUUACCGCUGCCACAGUUUGAGGCUUGUAGGCGCAAUCUUACCCUUCUCAGUUCUUUAGAAAGUGGCUAA
rnacentral:rRNA from 1 species